UACGGAGGGUGCAAGCGUUAAUCGGAAUUACUGGGCGUAAAGCGCACGCAGGUGGCUGAGUCAGUCGAUUGUGAAAGCCCUGGGCUUAACCUGGGAAUUGCAGUCGAUACUACUCAGCUAGAGUAUGGGAGAGGGUAGUGGAAUUCCCGGUGUAGCGGUGAAAUGCGUAGAGACCGGGAAGAACACCAGUGGCGAAGGCGAGUCCCUGGACAACACCUGACACUGAGGCACGAAAGCCGGGGGAGCAAACAGG
rnacentral:rRNA from 1 species